GGGCCUGUAGCUCAGUUGGUAGAGCACUUGACUUUUAAUCAAGUUGUCGCGCGUUCGACCCGCGCCAGGCUCA
rfam:Elusimicrobia bacterium RIFOXYA2_FTLL_39_19 rifoxya2_full_scaffold_5969, whole genome shotgun sequence.